UGGUGAGUAACACGUGGGAAAUCUGCCCAGAAGGCAGGGGAUAACACUUGGAAACAGGUGCUAAUACCGUAUAACAACAAAAUNCGCCAUGGAUUUUGUUUGAAAGGUGGCUUCGGCUAUCACUUCUGGAUGAUCCCGNGGNGUNUUAGUUAGUUGGUGAGGUAAAGGCCCACCAAGACGAUGAUACGUAGCCGACCUGAGAGGGUAAUNGGCCACAUUGGGACUGAGACACGGCCCAAACUCNUACGGGAGGCAGCAGUAGGGAAUCUUCCACAAUGGACGAAAGUCUGAUGGAGCAAUGCCGCNUGAGUGAAGAAGGGUUUCGGCUCGUAAAANUCUGUUGUUAAAGAAGAACACCUUUGAGAGUAACUGUUCAAGGGUUGACGGUAUUUAACCAGAAAGCCACGGCUAANUACGUGCCAGCAGCCGCGGUAAUACGUAGGUGGCAAGCGUUGUCCGGAUUUAUUGGGCGUAAAGCGAGCGCAGGCGGUUUUUUAAGUCUGAUGUGAAAGCCUUCGGCUUAACCGGAGAAGUGCAUCGGAAACUGGGAGACUUGAGUGCAGAAGAGGACAGUGGAACUCCAUGUGUAGCGGUGGAAUGCGUAGAUAUAUGGAAGAACACCAGUGGCGAAGGCGGCUGUCUAGUCUGUAACUGACGCUGAGGCUCGAAAGCAUGGGUAGCGAACAGGAUUAGAUACCCUGGUAGUCCAUGCCGUAAACGAUGAGUGCUAAGUGUUGGAGGGUUUCCGCCCUUCAGUGCUGCAGCUAACGCAUUAAGCACUCCGCCUGGGGAGUACGACCGCAAGGUUGAAACUCAAAGGAAUUGACGGGGGCCCGCACAAGCGNUGGAGCAUGUGGUUUAAUUCGAAGCUACGCGAANAACCUUACCAGGUCUUGACAUCUUCUGCCAAUCUUAGAGAUAAGACGUUCCCUUCGGGGACAGAAUGACAGGUGGUGCAUGGUUGUCGUC
rnacentral:rRNA from 1 species